CCCCCACAAUAGCCUCUAGCUCAGGUCAGGGCUUGCCCCUAGGAGGUGGGAGACCUGGAUUCUAGUAUCUGCUCUAUAUCAGGAAGAGUGGGGAUUUGAGCCUGAGUCUUCUACAUCCUGGAAGCGAGCAGGAGCAACACACGGUGUGUUGGCAAUGGAUGCAGGGAGGAUGCUCUUGAGGCAGUGGCAGACAGAAAGAGCUGUGACCGGGGCCUGAAUACUUUGGAUAGCUUCUGGCAUUUUUGACCAAGCAGAGCUCCUAGAGAGGUUACAAUAAAAGAAAGAACCUUUCCUACUCAACCUAAAUGAGAGAAUGUGGCUAAGGAUCUUAUCAACCAUUGACCUACCAUCUGCACAAGUUGCCAGCUGCCUAAAGUGACCAAACGCUUUAUAUGAGAUUCAUCAGCAAUGUUAAAGAAAAGUUAAAGAAGCAAACCAGAAUGUGAUCUCUGUGAAGCAUACUCUGCCCUGG